ACCUCGAUGUCGGCUCUUCGCCACCUGGAGCUGUAGGUGGUUCCAAGGGUUGGGCUGUUCGCCCAUAUGCGGUACGUGAGCUGGGUUCAAAACGUCGUGAGACAGUUC
rfam:Oryza sativa (indica cultivar-group) chromosome 4, whole genome shotgun sequence.